UUGUACACACCGCCCGUCACACCAUGAGAGUCUGUAACGCCCGAAGCCGGCCGAGUAACCGAAAGAGUCGCCGUCAUAGCGGAGCAGAUGAUUAGGGUGAAGCUGAAUCAAGGAUGCCGAUAGAACCUGCGCUGGAUCACCUCCUUUCUAAGGAA
rnacentral:rRNA from 1 species